GCCAGACUCCUACGGGAGGCAGCAGUGGGGGAUAUUGCACAAUGGGGGAAACCCUGAUGCAGCGACGCCGCGUGGGUGAAGAAGCGCCUCGGCGCGUAAAGCCCUGUCAGCAGGGAAGAAAAUGACGGUACCUGAAGAAGAAGCUCCGGCUAAAUACGUGCCAGCAGCCGCGGUAAUACGUAUGGAGCAAGCGUUAUCCGGAUUUACUGGGUGUAAAGGGAGCGCAGGCGGCCUUGCAAGUCUGAUGUGAAAGGCCGGGGCCCAACCCCGGGACUGCAUUGGAAACUGCGAGGCUGGAGUGUCGGAGAGGCAGGCGGAAUUCCGUGUGUAGCGGUGAAAUGCGUAGAUAUACGGAGGAACACCAGUGGCGAAGGCGGCCUGCUGGACAUUAACUGACGCUGAGGCGCGAAGGCGUGGGGAGCAAACAGGAUUAGAUACCCCAGUAA
rnacentral:rRNA from 1 species